ensembl:ncRNA C49A9.39 ncRNA
AUGAACCAAAUCAUUAUGAUGAUGGUAACAGUUGAUCGUCGUCCUGGACGCUUUUUCAAUGGAUGGAUUAUGGCAUAAUAUCUGGAAUUUUUAUAUGUAUGAAUUUUGAGCCUUAAAAUAUCAAAGUAUACCUUUCAAUGCUCAUGACAAUCAUUGUGAAUACACUUGCACAAAUCGGAGUUAUUCCCAUCAAAUUGUUUAUUCGACAGUAAAAGCUU